GGACUUCUGGAGGACGACACAGAAUAUUUAACACACUCAGUAACUUUAAACUAGAUGCCUAACAUAAAGUAAUUGUGAAUUAAUUGUAUAAUAUUUUCAUUCAUCUGCUAUUCUCAUUCAGGGUCAUGAAUAAACUUCAGAUAUCCAUCCAUCUAUUUUCUACCGCUUGUCCCUAUUAGGGUCGCAGGAGGUACUGGAGCCUAUCUCAGCUGCAUUCGGGCGGAAGGCAGGUUUAGCCCAGAAAGUCCUUCAUAUGGACUAUGGACUAUGGACUGGACUUUCACAAUAUUAUGUCAGACCCACUCGACAUCCAUUGCUUUCGGUCUCCCCUAGAGGGGGGGGGGGUUACCCACAUAUGCGGUCCUCUCCAAGGUUUCUCAUAGUCAUUCACAUCGACGUCCCACCGGGUGCUGCACAGAUGUUUCUGGAUUAUGAGUCAUGGGGAAGGCAAAAUAAUUGUCAAAGGAUCUGCGAGAAAAGGUAAUUGAACUGCAUAAAACAGGAAAGGGGUAUAAAAAGAUAUCCAAGGAACUGAGAAUGCCAAUCAGCAGUGUUCAAACGCUGAUUAAAAAGUGGAAAAUGAGGGAUUCAGGUAGACCAGCAAAGAUUUCAGCCACAACAGCCAGGAAAAUUGUUCGAGAUGCAAAGAAAAAAUCCACAAAUAACUUCAGCUGAAAUACAGGACUCUCUGAAAAAUGGUGGUGUGGCUGUUUCAAGAUGCACAAUAAGGAGGCACUUGAAGAAAAAUGGGCUGCAUGGUCGAGUCGCCAGAAGAAAGCCAUUUCUGCGCAAAUGUCACAAAGUAUCCCGCUUACAUUACGCCAAACAGCACAGAGACAAGCCUCAAAACUUCUGGAACAAAGUCAUUUGGAGUGAUGAGACCAAAAUUGGCCACUAAUAUCAUCAAAAGAUUCAGAGAAUCUGGAGAAAUCACUGCACGUAAGCGGCAAGGCCGUGACCUUCGAUCCCUCAGGUGGUAUUGCAUCAAAAAGCAACAUGAGUGUGUAAAGGAUAUCACUAUAUGGGCUCAGGAACACUUUAGAAAACCACUCAAUAACUACAGUUUGUCGCUCGAUCUGUAAGUGCAAGUUAAAACUCUCCUAUGCAAAGUGAAAGCCAUUUAUCAACGACACCCAGAAACGUCGCCGGCGGCUUCGCUGGGCCCGAGCUCAUCUAAGAUGGACUGAUGCAAAGUGGAAAAGUGUUCUUUAGUCUGACGAGUUCACAUUUCAAAUCGUUUUUGGAAACCGUGGACGUUGUGUACUGCGGACCAGAGAGGAAAAGAAACAUCCGGAUUGUUAUAGGCGCAAAGUUGAAAAGCCAGCAUCUGUGAUGGUAUGGGGGUGUAUUAGUGCCCAAGGCAUGGGUAACUUACACAUCUGUGAAGGCACCAUUAUUGCUGAAGGGUACAUACAGGUUUUGGAGCAACAUAUGUUGCCAUCCAAGCAACGUCUUUUUCAUUGACGCCCCUGCUUAUUUUAGCAAGACAAUCCCAAGCCACAUUCUGCACGUGUUACAACAGCGUGGCUUAGUAGUAAAAGAGUGCGGGUACUAGACUGGCCUGCCUGUAGUCCAGACCUGUCUCCCAUUGAAAAUGUGUGGCGCAUUACGAAGCGUAAAAUACCACAACGG